rnacentral:rRNA from 1 species
CCUACGGGAGGCAGCAGUGGGGAAUAUUGCACAAUGGGGGAAACCCUGAUGCAGUGAUGCCGCGUGGAGGAAGAAGGUUUUCGGAUUGUAAACUCCUUUUAUCAGGGACGAUAAUGGCGGUACCUGAAGAAAAAGCUCCGGCUAACUACGUGCCAGCAGCCGCGGGAAUACGUAGGGAGCGAGCGGUGUUCGGGAUUACUGGGGGUAAAGGGAGCGUAGGCGGGGGGGGAA